rnacentral:rRNA from 1 species
GAUGAACGCUGGCGGCGUGCCUAAUACAUGCAAGUCGAGCGAACAGACGCGGCUCUUGCUCCUCUGUCGUUUGCGGCGGACGGGUGUGUAACACGUGGAUAACCUCCCUAUAUUUCUGGUAUAACUUCGGGACACCGGCGCUUAUCCCGGAUAAUCUCUUGCACCGCAUUGUUCAUUAGUGAAAUUCGGUUUUUCUGUCUCUUCUCGAUGCAUCUGCGCCGCAUUAGCUAGUUGGUAAGGUAACGGCUUUCCACGGCAACGAUGCGUAGCCGACGUGAGAGGGUGAUCGGCCACACGGGAAGGGAGACACGGUCCAGAGGACUACGGGAGGCAGCAGUAGGGAAGGGGACGCAAUGGGCGAAAGCCUGACGGAGCAACGCCGCGUGAGAGAUGAAGGUGUUCGGAUCGUAAAACUCUGUUAGGAGGGAAGAACAAAUGUGGAAGGAAAUAAGCACGGAGUGACGGUACCGAAUCAGAAAGCAACGGCUAACUACGUG